GCGUGGCUUCCGGAGCUAACGCGUUAAGUAGACCGCCUGGGGAGUACGGCCGCAAGGUUAAAACUCAAAUGAAUUGACGGGGGCCCGCACAAGCGGUGGAGCAUGUGGUUUAAUUCGAUGCAACGCGAAGAACCUUACCUGGUCUUGACAUCCACAGAACUUUCCAGAGAUGGAUUGUGCCUUCGGGAACUGUGAGACAGGUGCUGCAUGGCUGUCGUCAGCUCGUGUUGUGAAAUGUUGGGUUAAGUCCCGCAACGAGCGCAACCCUUAUCCUUUGUUGCCAGCGAUUAGGUCGGGAACUCAAAGGAGACUGCCAGUGAUAAACUGGAGGAAGGUGGGGAUGACGUCAAGUCAUCAUGGCCCUUACGACCAGGGCUACACACGUGCUACAAUGGCGCAUACAAAGAGAAGCGACCUCGCGAGAGCAAGCGGACCUCAUAAAGUGCGUCGUAGUCCGGAUUGGAGUCUGCAACUCGACUCCAUGAAGUCGGAAUCGCUAGUAAUCGUGGAUCAGAAUGCCACGGUGAAUACGUUCCCGGGCCUUGUACACACCGCCCGUCACACCAUGGGAGUGGGUUGCAAAAGAAGUAGGUAGCUUAACCUUCGGGAGGGCGCUUACCACUUUGUGAUUCAUGACUGGGGUGAAGUCGUAACAAGGUAACCGUAGGGGAACCUGCGGUUGGAUCACCUCCUUACCUUAAAGAAGC
rnacentral:rRNA from 1 species